GCUACCACCGGUCACACACACGUCUGAGCGGUUCGUGUUCGUCCUUCGUCGAUCGCCGCCGACCUAUUAUUUUUACGCGUGACGACUAACGGCGGUGAUGCCAACAACAACAACAACAACAAGUAAUAAUAAUGAUAUUCCAUACAUCGGGGCUGCGCGGCAGCGACGAUAAAAUAUGGAUUGCAGCGCACGACAAACGGAAAUCCAACGCAGAAAAUAAUAAUAAUUACUAAUGUUGAAACAUCUUAACGGCGUUCAAAUUUUUCCGUUUUGGCAGUGAACAUUUUCGUACAUUAUCGUUUUUGCGUAUCGCACGAUACCUACCUAUCAUGUUAUUAAAAGGAGAGGCGAUUAUUUUUAUAUCUGAAGUUCUACAGGUUUUUCAAAUUUUUCGAAAAACACCGAAAAUUCGUUUGCCACUAACAGUCGGACUGGGCGUCUACCUUGGAGUUUAAUUUGUCUGUCACAAUUAUGCGGUAUGCAAUGGUGAAAAACCACAGCAGGAAUUUAUACUUAUUUCUACAUAUUUGAUGAUUCAUUUUUGUAAUCAUUGUUUGGUAAUAACAUGUUUAUAUGAAUACAGAAUGAGGUAUAGAGAUGAGCUAGUACAGUCCAGUAUGUAGUAUGCAAGGGUGAUUAAUCAUAAGACCCAAGAUAACGACAAGAUGAAACUUUUAUAAUCAUUGGUG